rnacentral:rRNA from 1 species
CUACGGGGGGCACCAGUGAGGAAUAUUGCACAAUGGGGGGAACCCUGAUGCAGCAACGCCGCGUGGAGGAUGACGCAUUUCGGUGUGUAAACUCCUUUUAUAUGUCAAGAAAAUGACGGUAGCAUAUGAAUAAGCACCGGCUAACUCCGUGCCAGCAGCCGCGGUAAUAGGGAGGGUGCAAGCGUUACUCGGAAUCACUGGGCGUAAAGGACGCGUAGGCGGGUUGGAAAGUCAGGUGUGAAAUCCUACAGCUUAACUGUAGAACUGCACUUGAAACUUCUAAUCUAGAGUAUGGGAGGGGGAGAUGGAAUUAGUGGUGUAGGGGUAAAAUCCGUAGAUAUCACUAGGAAUACCUAAAGCGAAGGCGAUCUCCUGGAACAUUACUGACGCUAAGGCAUGAAAGCGUGGGGAGCAAACAGGAUUAGAUACCCUGGUAGUC